UACGUAGGGUGCGAGCGUUGUCCGGAAUUAUUGGGCGUAAAGGGCUCGUAGGCGGUUUGUCGCGUCGGGAGUGAAAACACCGGGCUUAACUCGGUGCUUGCUUUCGAUACGGGCAGACUAGAGGUAUGCAGGGGGAGAACGGAAUUCCUGGUGUAGCGGUGAAAUGCGCAGAUAUCAGGAGGAACACCGGUGGCGAAGGCGGUUCUCUGGGCCUUACCUGACGCUGAGGAGCGAAAGCGUGGGGAGCGAACAGG
rnacentral:rRNA from 1 species